rnacentral:rRNA from 1 species
UCAAGUGACUAAGUGCAUGUGGUGGAUGCCUUGGCGAUUACAGGCGACGAAGGACGUGAUAGCCUGCGAUAAGCUUCGGGGAGCUGGCAAAUUAGCUUUGAUCCGGAGAUUUCCGAAUGGGGAAACCCACCCUUAGGGGUAUCGCAUGGUGAAUACAUAGCCAUGCGAGGCGAACCGGGUGAACUGAAACAUCUCAGUAGCUCGAGGAAAAGACAUCAACCGAGAUUCCGAAAGUAGCGGCGAGCGAAAUCGGAACAGCCUUGUACUCUUUAGCCUUCGACAUAUCAAAACAGAAUGGAAAGUCUGGCCAGAGCGGGUGAUAGCCCCGUAUGAAAAAUGUCUUUGGUGGAACUAGGUGUACGACAAGUAGGGCGGGACACGUGACAUCCUGUCUGAAGAUGGGGGGACCAUCCUCCAAGGCUAAAUACUCGUAAUCGACCGAUAGUGAACCAGUACCGUGAGGGAAAGGCGAAAAGAACCCCGGGAGGGGAGUGAAAUAGAUCCUGAAACCGCAUGCAUACAAACAGUCGGAGCCUCCUUGUGGGGUGACGGCGUACCUUUUGUAUAAUGGGUCAGCGACUUACAUUCAGUGGCAAGGUUAACCGAAUAGGGAAGCCGUAGAGAAAUCGAGUCCGAAUAGGGCGUUCAGUCGCUGGGUGUAGACCCGAAACCAAGUGAUCUAUCCAUGGCCAGGAUGAAGGUGCCGUAACAGGUACUGGAGGUCCGAACCGACUAAUGUUGCAAAAUUAGCGGAUGAGCUGUGGAUAGGGGUGAAAGGCUAAACAAACUUGGAAAUAGCUGGUUCUCUCCGAAAACUAUUUAGGUAGUGCCUCAAGUAUUACCGUCGGGGGUAGAGCACUGUUAUGGCUAGGGGGUCAUGGCGACUUACCAAACCAUUGCAAACUCCGAAUACCGAUGAGUACAGCUUGGGAGACAGUGCACCGGGUGCUAACGUCCGGACACAAGAGGGAAACAACCCAGACCGCCAGCUAAGGUCCCCAAAAUUGGCUAAGUGGGAAACGAAGUGGGAAGGCUAAAACAGUCAGGAUGUUGGCUUAGAAGCAGCCAUCAUUUAAAGAAAGCGUAAUAGCUCACUGAUCGAGUCGUCCUGCGCGGAAGAUGUAACGGGGCUAAGCCAGUUACCGAAGCUGCGGAUGUGCGCGCAAGCGUACGUGGUAGGAGAGCGUUCUGUAGGCCUGUGAAGGUGGCUUGUGAAGGCUGCUGGAGGUAUCAGAAGUGCGAAUGCUGACAUGAGUAGCGUUAAAGGGGGUGAAAAGCCCCCUCGCCGAAAGCGCAAGGUUUCCUACGCAACGUUCAUCGGCGUAGGGUGAGUCGGCCCCUAAGGCGAGGCAGAGAUGCGUAGCUGAUGGAGAACAGGUCAAUAUUCCUGUACCGAUAUGUAGUGCGAUGUGGGGACGGAGAAGGUUAACUCAGCCGGGUGUUGGAUGUCCCGGUUCAAGCGUGUAGUCGUGUCCCUUAGGCAAAUCCGGGGGAAUUAGAUGAGGCGUGAUAACGAGGCGGCUUGCCGCUGAAGUGAGUGAUACCCUGCUUCCAGGAAAAGCCACUAAGCUCCAGCUACAUACGACCGUACCGCAAACCGACACUGGUGCGCGAGAUGAGUAUUCUAAGGCGCUUGAGAGAACUCUGGAGAAGGAACUCGGCAAAUUGACACCGUAACUUCGGAAGAAGGUGUGCCUUUAGUAGGUGAUCCAUUUACUUGGUGAGCCCAAUAAGGCCGCAGAGAAUCGGUGGCUGCAACUGUUUAUUAAAAACACAGCACUCUGCAAAGACGAAAGUCGACGUAUAGGGUGUGACUCCUGCCCGGUGCUGGAAGAUUAAAUGAUGGGGUGCAAGCUCUUGACUGAAGUCCCAGUAAACGGCGGCCGUAACUAUAACGGUCCUAAGGUAGCGAAAUUCCUUGUC